AACGAACGCUGGCGGCAGGCUUAAUACAUGCAAGUCGAACGCACCCUUCGGGGUGAGUGGCAGACGGGUGAGUAACGCGUGGGAAUCUACCCAAUACUACGGAAUAGCUCCGGGAAACUGGAAUUAAUACCGUAUGUGCCCUACGGGGGAAAGAUUUAUCGGUAUUGGAUGAGCCCGCGUUGGAUUAGCUAGUUGGUGGGGUAAUGGCCUACCAAGGCGACGAUCCAUAGCUGGUCUGAGAGGAUGAUCAGCCACACUGGGACUGAGACACGGCCCAGACUCCUACGGGAGGCAGCAGUAGGGAAUAUUGGACAAUGGGCGAGAGCUUGAUCCAGCCAUGCCGCGUGAGUGAUGAAGGCCUUAGGGUUGUAAAGCUCUUUCAGUGGGGAAGAUAAUGACGGUACCCACAGAAGAAGCCCCGGCUAACUUCGUGCCAGCAGCCGCCGUAA
rnacentral:rRNA from 1 species